GCCCUGUGGCCUAAUGGAUAAGGCGUUGGCCCCGAGCCAAAGUUUUGGGGUUUUCGAGUCCUGCCGGGAGCA